rnacentral:rRNA from 1 species
UACGGAGGGUGCGAGCGUUGUCCGGAAUCAUUGGGCGUAAAGGGCGCGUAGGCGGUCUGAUUCGUCGGGGGUGAAAUCCUGCGGCUUAACCGCAGGGCUGCCUUCUAAACUGUCAGGCUGGAGCACAGUAGAGGCAGGUGGAAUUCCCGGUGUAGCGGUGGAAUGCGUAGAGAUCGGGAAGAACAUCAGUGGCGAAGGCGGCCUGCUGGGCUGUUGCUGACGCUGAGGCGCGACAGCGUGGGGAGCAAACAGG